UCGACGCAUCAACAUCUCAUGAACUCUUAAUUCGGCCCUUUUCCAACCUAAAGCAUUAAUAAACCUUUGCCUUUGGUAAUAUGCCUGCUGAUCUGUACCUUUAUUCAAUAUCUGUCCUGGCCAAAUGGGGACGUCAUCUGGACCGCCACUUUGUCAUCACCGGCCGUUAGCGACCAGCGGGACCACGCCGUCUUCCCAUUCCGUGCCUGACAUGGCGCAGCCGACAGGAUCAGCAGCAUUCCAUUCUGUUACGAGGCAAGAUCGUUCCAAUUUCAUUCGCCCCGGCAUGAGGCACGUUGUAAGUUCUUUUGGGUCCCAUUUCCUGAGGCACCUAUUCCGUAUUUUUCAGUGGUCACUAUUAUGUUCAUCUCCAUCUCGGAGUAUGAUAGGACUUUCUCGAAUUUGUCUUUGGAGCUGUAACCUCUCGGAGCAUCUUCUGGAGAAGCCCAGGAAUCAACCCAAACCAAGACCGCCAAAGUCGAAGCGGACUUGGAUUCAUCAGCGAAGACAGCCUCACAACCACAAGACCUCACGACUGGAAGAUUUCCGUAUCCCACAGACGUUCUAAUAAAGUGCCUCCUGAACUGGAGGACAGUUCAUCCUUCAACGCGGAGGUCGUGUGAGCUGCAGCAGCAUCGUCAUCACCGCCGCUGUCCAAUUGUCUUCAUCGUGGCAUCGCCCACCCAGCAAACCACCAGCGCCACACGGACGUGCAUAGGACGUCGCAACAUGGAUAUUUGGAUAUCCAGUGGAUUUUCCUGAGGGUCCAACUUACGUCCACUGGAUAUCCAUGGGAGCUGGACUUUACCCCUGUUUUCUGAUCCCAGGAAUCUCCAGACAAUGUUCAUAGGGAUAUUUCAUUUCAUUUAAUAUACCUGAAGGACCCAUGUGGGUAUUACAUCAGGGGGGACAAAUACAAACUUUCACAGUGGGCAAUAAAAAGAUCUGUUAGUAAUAGAGGCAACA